CAGAAGGAACUACAACCUUAGCUCUAACAAAUUCUCCCUAAAGGAUAAUGGCAAAUGUCCUUAACCUUUGCACAUAGUUGGAAAAUUAGUUCUAAAGCACUAACAAAAUUAUCCACACCCUAACUUCGGAUCUCCAGCAUGAAGAAAAGGAAUCCCCCAACAUGUCACUUCUCAGAGAUUCCCAGCAGAUCUUGUAACUUCCCCAGGGAAUGAAUAAUGUUGAUGCUGUGCUCUCUCAUGUACUAAGUGUUCUCCUGGUUUCACUUGCAAUUGAAGGAAUCUUUCCAGGAGUCCUUCUUCUGGUCUGAAAGCUAGACUGAAUCCAGGCUCUGACUCCAUGCUAGCUGUGCUCCAUAUGGCUCCCCUGAAAUAUUGUGAUUUGAUGCAGGUGCAGAGCAACUCAUGAGCCUGUGACAACAGCCCCGUCCAGCGUUUCACACACAGAGAGAGGCCCUGAAUGCCCUGAUAGCUUUGGCAAACCCUGCUGAAGACAACAAGACCUACUUCACUAGGAGUACAACGUGAUGCCCCUGAAGACAAGAAUACUGAUUUGUGAUGCGGAGAGGAACACCCAUUUUUCCUUGUGCACUUGCUAGGGCUUACAACCCAAUGCAACUGACUAACAACAUCAGUAAAAUAAGAAAUUUGGUAAUUUUUAGAUCAUCCCUAUUUGGCCACCUGCUCUGAGUAAAACAACUGCUUACACAGUUUCUCUUUGUUUUUCUUUUUUUAGAUAAUACUGUCAAAAAACUUGUUUAUCAUAUACUCUGCAACAAAAGCAUCUGGUAGUUCU